UGGCUUCACAAACCAAACCAUCCCAGCAUACCUCGUGUGUCCAACUGCUUCGGACCGUAUGCUCGUUGAAAUAUUUUGCAGGCCUGUUUAAAAAAAAUUAUCAGGUCAAUAAUCUGGACCGGACCAUAUUGGAUUAUCCUACAAUUGGUACCAUGCAAAGUAUUUUAUAUAGGUAAAUUGCACUUUAGCACGGCGAAUGUAAAGGGGUUUCUAGCUAGCAAGUGAGUUUGGGGCCGGCUAGCUAACGUUACUGUUGUACGGAUUCGAACAAUAAUUCCUAAUCAUGGAGCUGGAGUCGGAAAGAACCGAAUUUGGAGCUAUGGGAGACUCGCUUCAACCUCAAACCCCAAGUCGACACGAGAAGAGUCUAGGAUUGCUUACAACCAAAUUUGUAUCUUUGCUACAAGAGGCCAAGGAUGGAGUUCUAGACCUGAAAGCAGCAGCAGACACCCUAGCUGUAAGACAGAAGCGGCGCAUCUACGACAUCACCAAUGUGCUUGAGGGCAUCGGACUGAUCGAGAAGAAGUCUAAGAACAGUAUUCAGUGGAAGGGUGUUGGUCCUGGCUGUAACACACAGGAGAUAGCCGAUAAACUCAUUGAUCUGAAGGCAGAACUGGAUGAUCUGGACAAGCGGGAGCACGAGUUGGAUCAGCAGAGGGUCUGGGUCCAGCAGAGCAUCAUGAACGUCACAGACGACUCACAGAACAGCCCUAUGGCUUAUGUAAAACAUGAAGACCUCUGUAGUGCUUUCAAAGGUGACACUCUCCUAGCGAUCCGCGCUCCCACAGGCACACAACUGGAGGUGCCCAUACCUGAGUCGGUACUGAUUGGACAGAAGAAGUAUCAGAUCCGUCUCAAGAGCUCAGCAGGACCCAUUGAGGUUCUCCUUGUGAACAAGGACCCAUCCAGCCCGUCUCCAGUGGUGCUGUCCGUCCCCCCACCCGAGGACAUGCUCCAGAGCCUUCCAGUGCCUGCUGCUGCUGCUGCUGCCAACACAAAACAGACACCUACUGCCCCCUCACAGCCCAGCCAGCCUCUGGCCCAUUCCUCCAACCCCAGUCCUGCCACACUCUUACCUGCCUGCACAGCUACUUCGAAUCAGGCAGUCACCACUGCAGUGUCCAGCACACUGACUGUUUCCACACCCACUACAAACACAAAUGCCCAAUCGACUCCCCUGUUGGACACCCAGCCUCUCCAGUCCUCUGCCUCAUUGGAUGGCUGCUGUUCUUCUUCAGCAGUCUUUGAACCAAUCAAGGCUGACCCCUCAGAAUUGCUGUAUUUCCCCAAAGAACUUUCUGACAUGUUUGACCCGACUAAAGAGAUCAUGAGUGCAGACCUGUUGGAGGAGUUGAUGUCUUCCGAGGACCCAAACGGCGUUCCAUAGAAAUCCUGGUUAAGAACGAAACGACUGAACAAAUGAACAACGAAACAGCGCAGCAAUGUUCUCUCCACUCCUCCGUCUAUCUCCUCCUCCGGGUGACCACGACUACAUAUAUAACCUGGACGAAACCGAAGGCCUGUGUGACCUCUUUGAUGUCCCGAUUCUUAACCUUUGACCUCUGAGCUGAGUUCCCAAAAAUGUAUUAUGUAAGGAAAUUGAAGAAUCAUUUUUACCAUUUUCUAUGGAAAAAAACAAAUGUGUGAUUCUAUUUUUGGAUCCUGGUGUAUCAUAAGAUUUUUCUGUGUAAACAAUUAAGUGUUUUGAUGUCGUACCCAAAUAUUUCCACUAAACAUUGGCAGCAAAUGUUUGAGGGCAUAGUGGCUUUAGGUUAGAUAAAAAGGGGUAUAGUCCUCUCCAAUCUCAACGGAUGAUCUCUCAGGUGAAAUACCUCGCAUUCAUGCUGACCUGUGAUUAACUCUAUUCCCUCAUUUAUCUAUGUUUGAAAUAUAUAUGUAACAAACUGGCAACAGCAGUCAUCAUCACACUCUGAUCCUCAUCAACUCGGUGUCAACAGAUUCAAAGACACCUAGGCAGCUGCAUACACUCGGACAGUACGCACGAAUGUGUACAGAUACACAGCUGAUCAAAGUUAUGCGCUUUUGUUCUGUAUAUAGAGAAUAUUUAUAUUUUGUAUUAAGAGCCUUUGUGGAGUUGUGUAUAAUGAACUACAUGUGAAAUACAUUGAGACAGCAGUAGUGAACUAGGGUGCCAAACAAAGACAGAGAAAAUUGAAGUGUUUCAGAUGUAGCUCGCAUUGAAUCAACUGCUACACUUUGGUCCCCUUGCGUUGUUUUAUUUCUUACUCAUUUCAUUCACUUUUCAACAUGGUCUGUGGCUCUCUUGUUUUUUCUUGCAAUUAUGUAUAUGAAUAUUAUUUUAUUCAGUCUGUUUGUAAAGAUUUUUUUUUUUUUUUUACAGAUACAGUAAUUAGUUCCUAUGAAGUAGGGGUUAGUGCUUUGAGAGCUGGUCUGUAUAUGUCGCUCAGAUCUGUGUUCAAUACAAAAACGUUCCCCAACAUGCUUUCACCGUGACUAUGGAAACACAAAUGUUGACUUUGUUCUUUUUGUGAGAGAAUAUUUAUUUAAAUUUUCCUUCAGUUUUCAUUCAUUCCCAGAAUACAUUGUUUCCCUUGUAUUAUAGAAGUAUAUAUAAAAAAUGCUCAUCACUAUACAACACUACCGUUCAAAAGUUUGGGGUCACUUAGAAAUGUCCUUGUUUUUGAAAGAAAAGCACAUUUUCUGUCCAUUAAAAUAACAUCAAGUUGAUCAGAAAUACAGUGUAGACAUUGUUAAUGUUGUAAAUUACCAUUGUAGCUGGAAAUGGCAGGAUUUUAUGGAUUAUCUACAGAGGCCCAUUAUCAGCAACCAUCACUCCUGUGUUCCAAUGGCUAAUUGAUCAUUAGCAAUUAUGUUAGCGCAGCUGAAAACUGUUGUCCUGAUUAAAGAAGCAAUAAAUCUGGUCUUUAGACUAGUUGAGUAUCUGGA